AUGCAGAUCUUUGUCAAAAUCAACUGUUCAAAUUUUCAAAGAAAAAGAAAGAUCCACUGUUUAAAGACUAUCACUCUUGAGGUCAUGGGAUCAGAUACGAUCUACGAUGUCAAGGAUAAGAUUCGAGACAAGGAGGGCAUCCCUGAAGGCCAGCAGAGACUCAUGUUUGGCAGUGAGCUGCUGAUGGACAGCUGCACCCUGGAGUACUACAACAUUGAGGAAGAGUCCACGCUCACCCUUGACCUUGUCCCCCGAGGGAUGCAUAUCUUUGUCAAGACACUGACUAACAAGAUCAUGACUAUUGAGGUUGGGGGAGAAGAUAGCAUAUACAUUGUGAAGGCAAAGAUUUACGAUGAAACCACCGUUUGCCCAGGCAGACAGCGUCUCGUCUUUGCUGGGAACGAGCUAGAGGAUGGCUGCACCUUGGCUGACUACAACGUGCAAAAUGAAUCUACACUUCAUAUUGUGUUCCGCUCGAGAGAUGGGAUGCACAUUUUUGUCAAGACACUGACUGGCAAGAUCAUGACUAUUGAUGUUGAGGGAGAAGAUAGUCUAUACAGUGUAAAGGCAAAGAUUUUUGAUGAAACCGGCAUUCCUCCAGGCAGACAGUGUCUCAUCUUUGCUGGGAAGCAGUUGGAGGAUGGCCGCACCUUGGCUGACUGCAAUGUGCACAACGAAACUACCAUUCAUCUUGUGGUGUUUCAUGGCCUCACGUGUCACAGAGGUGGGAUGCACAUGCACAUCAUUAUCAGGGGACUGACUGACAAGAUCAUGACUGCUGUGGCUGAGGGAGAAGAUACCAUAUAUAGUGUGAAGGUAAAGGUUUCCGCUGAAACCGGCGUUCCCCCAGACAGACAGACUCUCAUCUUUGCUGGGAAUGUGCUGGAGGAUGGCCGCACCUUGGCUGACUACGAUGUGCAACAUGCAUCUACCCUUCAUGUUGUGUUGCGUGGCGUCACGAGGCAGAGAGGUGGGAUGCGCAUAUUUUUCAGGACGGUGAACGGGAAGGAGGUCAUUGAUCGUGCGUUUAAGCCCAGGCAGACCAUUGACGAUAUCAAAGCAUGGAUCUACUCUGAGUUGUGCAUUCCCCCGGACCAUCAGCAUCUCUCUGACCAGGGCGGCGCCCCCCUGGCUGAAGAGAUAUCUCGUUCGUGCACCCUUGUUCUGCAGAUCCGUCCUCCUGGUGGUCAAUGA
rnacentral:rRNA from 1 species